UACGUAGGGGGCAAGCGUUGUCCGGAUUUAUUGGGCGUAAAGAGCUCGUAGGCGGUUGGGCAAGUCACGUGUGAAAUCUCCACGCUCAACGUGGAGGCGCCACGUGAGAGUGCCCUGACUCGAGUCCGGUAGGGGAGCGUGGAAUUCCCGGUGUAGCGGUGAAAUGCGCAGAGAUCGGGAGGAACACCCGUAGCGAAGGCGGCUUCCUGGACCGACACUGACGCUGAGGCGCGAAAGCUAGGGGAGCAAACGGG
rnacentral:rRNA from 1 species